UACGUAGGAGGCGAGCGUUGUCCGGAAUUACUGGGUGUAAAGCGCGUGUAGGUGGUGGGCCAAGUCUGUGGUGAAAUCGCCCGGCUCAACUGGGCGAGGUCCGUGGAAACUGGUCGACUGGAGGACGGUAGAGGCGAGUGGAAUUCCCGGUGUAGUGGUGAAAUGCGUAGAGAUCGGGAGGAACACCAGUGGCGAAGGCGGCUCGCUGGGCCGGUCCUGACACUGAGACGCGAAGGCGUGGGGAGCGAACGGG
rnacentral:rRNA from 1 species